GGAGAGCUGAGUGUUUAGUGCUUGUAUCAGAUGAUUCAGAUUUUGUUGGUGUUCUGAAGGAGGCGAAAUUGAGAUGUAUGAAGACUGUUGUGGUUGGGGAUAUUAAUGAUGGAGCACUGAAGAGAGUUGCUGACGCAGGGUUUUCUUGGCAAGAGAUUUUGAGGGGGAAGGCUAAGAAGGAGGCAGUGUCAGUUGUGGGGCGGUGGAAGGACCAAGACACUUUGAAGAGACUAGAAUGGACAUACAAUCCAGAGGAGGUG
rnacentral:misc_RNA from 1 species